UACGUAGGGUGCGAGCGUUGUCCGGAAUUAUUGGGCGUAAAGAGCUCGUAGGCGGUGUGUCGCGUCGGCCGUGAAAGACCGGGGCUCAACUCCGGUUCUGCAGUGGGUACGGGCAGACUAGAGUGCAGUAGGGGAGACUGGAAUUCCUGGUGUAGCGGUGAAAUGCGCAGAUAUCAGGAGGAACACCGAUGGCGAAGGCAGGUCUCUGGGCUGUAACUGACGCUGAGGAGCGAAAGCAUGGGGAGCGAACAGG
rnacentral:rRNA from 1 species